AUGGUGGCCCUGGGGUCAGAUCUCCUAGCCUCAGAUCGUGGCCCCACUACUUUCCAGCUCUGCGACAUCAGCUGGAAACAUUUGGGGCCAAGGUCCAGUAGCAGCCGUUGUUCCAGCAGCCUUGUGGAAGGAACUAGGGUGCUGUGGACCAGAAUGGAACUGACUUCUGGAGAGAAGCAGAAAAAAGAGCUGGAGAGCUCUGUUUGUUCCAGCCACUCUGCGUCUGUUCUCCUUGCAGUUUGGGUUACACGAGCAGGUUAGUCCUCUUCGCCUCUCUCCUAAUCUCGUUUCAGGUGGGUUUCUGUCAUGUGCUCUCCAGGAGACCGGCUGGACACAUACUUACUGCCUUUCCCUUUGCUUUCCUCCCCUAGAGGAUGGAAGAAAGGGUUGAAAGUGGAGAUCUGUGGAUCUUCAAUUAAUUAUGUACACGGGCGCAGCGGCCCUCUCUUUCUAUACGUCUGCCAGCUCAAAACGGAAUAGUUUGGUAACACUCUUACUGCCAAUAUUCCCUCUUAACUUGUGAGAACAAAAACGACUGUGAGCUCCCUGCAAGCAGCAUCUUGGUGAAAGACCAGGUUGUGAAUGGCACCAUCAGAAGAACAUGAGAAAGGAGGUUCCUUCGUCUCUUCUCAACAAUGAUUUUCAAUUUUGGAUUUGGAAAAGCUCUGGUAGCAUCUGUGUCAACAUUAUGGCAGAAUCUACAGUCUUGUUACCAUUUUGGAUUAGCUUCUUAUGGCAGCACGUAAACCAAACUUGGUCUCGAAGGGCUCUCAACAAACCAUUCCCAGCCCCUUCCUCUUAGAGAGAUACCUAGCAUGAGGAAGGAGCUAUUCAGUCCCAUAACAGUUAUUCUAUCCAAAGUGGGAGACCAGUGGCCAAUCUAGCCUCUUAGCCAAUGGCCAAUGCAUGUGGCCACUAUCAUACUUUCCUCCCAGGGCCUCCAGGUUAAUGGAUGGGAUUUAUUGGCGUAGUGUGUUAAUAGAUCCAUCACCAGUGGCCAUUCUGAGGACUAAGCAAACAGCAGAAAGGCAGAACAAUAAAUCACAGAAAUAGGGAGCUCCA
rnacentral:lncRNA from 1 species